rnacentral:rRNA from 1 species
AUGGCUCCAUCGACCGCGGCCGGCGCGGCCGGCGCGGCGGCGGGGUGGCUGGUGUCGCCGCUGCUGCAGUGCCUGGGCGACCGGGCCAGGUCCUUCGCGGAAGACCUCGCGCGAUACCUCCCGGGAGGAUCCGGGGACGCGCCCGCCGACCUCGCGCGCCUCUCUGGCGAGCUCCUCCGCCUCCAGAUGAACGCCGCCGACGUCGAGCGCGCCCGGCGCCGCCCCUCUGACCCCGCCCUCGUCGCCUGGCUCCACCGCCUCAGGGACGCGGCCCACGACGCCGACGACCUCCUCGACAACAUCCACUACGGCCGCCUCGCCGACUCCCUCGCCGCCCCACGCCAUAAGCUCCGCCGCAUCCUCGACUUCUCCCUCUCCCUCUGCCGCCGCCUGUUCCGCUCCGACGAGCCCCUCAGUCGGCUCCCCUCCGUCCUAGAGAAUCUCGUCGCCGCCUCCGCGGCCUAUGCUGAGAUCGCGCACCUCGUCAAGCUGGACGCGGCCGCCUCUCCGCGGCUUGGUAACGAGCCGGCCGGGAACUUUAGCUCUGCCGUCCCGGUCGACGACACUCUCUUUGGCCGGGGCCGCGAGCUCGCCGAACUGAUGGAAAGGUUAGUCGGGUGUAGUGACCCUGGCCCUGCUCAACUCGGGAACCAGGGCGUCCCGGUUGUUGCCAUUGUUGGCGAUGGUGGCAUUGGCAAGACGACGCUGGCGCAGAUGGCCUUCAAUGAUGUGAGCAUCCAGGCUCACUUCGAUCUCCAGAUGUGGGUGCGCGUCUCGAGCUGUAUGAAUCUAAUGCAGCUUACUAGGGAGAUACUGCAGGCGGCUACAAAGGGGAAGGAGUCGAAGGACUAUCCUGGGUUAGUCAAUUUUGAUUCUCUGCAAGGCUUGCUGCGUUCUGCCGUUGAAGGGAAGAGGUUCUUGCUCAUCCUUGAUGAUGUUUGGGAUGAUAGUGGGAGGAAGAUUUGGGAGAACGUGGACCAGUGGAAGGAGCUACUAUCACCUCUGAAGAAUGGUGAGCAAGAUAGCAGAAUAGUUGUGACUACACGCAUGAAGAUGGUGGCUGACAUGCUAGGUGUAAGGAUCCCAAUGAUGUUGGCUGGAUUGGGUACCGAAGAGCAUUGGUUGUUGCUCAAGAAGCACGCAUUGGGUUGUGAGAAGAGUUGUGAAUAUCUGCAGUUGCAGGAGAUUGGGAGAAAGAUUGCUUUGAAGCUAAGAGGAUCCCCUCUCGCAGCUAAAGUUAUUGGCGGGAUGCUUAAUGUUGAUCGAAGGGCAAGGUAUUGGAACAGUAUCUUGGAGACAGAUAUUCAUGGUGAUGUUGUCACCACACUUUUGUCAAGCUAUUAUCAUCUUCCACCACACUUGCAGUGUUGCUUUGCAUAUUGCAGUAUAUUUCCGAAGAAUUGGAAGUUUGAGCCUAAGAAACUUGUUAGGAUGUGGAUAUCACAGGGUUUCAUUCAGAUGGAAAAUGGCAGAAGCAUGGAGGAUUGUGGUAAAGAGUAUUUCAAACAACUUUUGUCAAGGUCAUUCUUUCAGACGGUCAAGCAAGGAAACAAAAGGCUGUAUCUCAUGCAUGACUUGAUUCAUGACUUGGCACAAAUGGUUUCUGAUGGUGAUUGUGGGAGGGUCGAAGGUGACAUGUCCAGAAACAUACUGCCAACCAUCAGACACUUGUCAGUUUCAAGUAACUGUUUAGGAAAGAUAAAAGACCAAUAUGAUCUGAAGAGAUUAAGGACACUGAUUGUGUUUAGAGAUCCUUUGAUGCCCCUGAGUCCUAUCCCAGAUGGUUUUCUCGCUGAGAUAAAGAAUGUGCGCACGUUGGAUUUUACCGGAUGUGAUAUAUCCAAGUUACCUGAAGAAAUUGACGUACUAACUCAUCUACGCUACAUAGCACUUCCUGAUACUAUCAAGACCAUAUCUGAAUCUGUGAGCAGAUUAUUGCAUCUUCAGACUUUUGAUAUUCCGAAGAAGUGCCAGCUUGAUGGAUUUCCUGAGGGUAUGCACCAGUUGACCAGCUUGCGAUAUCUUGGCAUCGAGUCAAAAUACAUCUCAACAAUAAGAGGUAUUGGUAGUCUGGUUAACCUUCAAGGUUCUGUUGAGUUCCAUGUUAAAAAGGAAAAGGGGCGAACCUUAGAAGAGUUGAAGGAUAUGAAGGAUCUUCAUGGGCUUCUUAGCAUCAAGAAUCUGGAAAAUGUUCAAUGCAAAGAGGAAGCUUGUGAAGCUCAAUUGGCGAAUAAGCAACACGUGAACAUUUUAAAAUUUGAAUGGAGUGUUGCCAAUUUAGAUUUUGGUCCCAACAUAGACGCUGAAGUAUUGAACUGCUUACAACCUCAUCCUAAUCUGGAAGAACUUCACAUUGCAAGGUACAAAGGGGCAUCAUCGCCGAGGUGGUUGCAGCUGAAAACGUUGUCCCACCUGAAAUGCAUGUAUCUAGCUAAUUGCAGAAGGUGGAAGUGGCUUCCUCCUCUGGGGCAGCUUCCAUCUCUGAGGGUGUUGCACCUGAAGGAAAUGAAUUCUGUUGCUGAAAUUGGCCCUUCGUUCUAUGGUGGCUUGAUGGCAUUUCAAUCUCUAAAGGAUCUUGAAUUUGAUGACAUGCCGAAUUUAGUUCGCUGGACAGGAGAAACUGGUCACUCAUUUUUCCCUUCCCUGCAAAAGUUGAAGAUUUCAAACUGUCCAAAGUUGGAUGAAGUGCCCUUGCUUCCUUAUACAAUAAAAAGAGUGACGGUAGAACGAAGUAAAGUUUCACAUCUCAAGUUGUCCCCUCAUUGUUCAUCUAGAUCAAGCAAAUUCAUGUUGGAAAUUUCUUCCGCAAGUAUUCUGAGUGAAGGGUUCUUAUUACAUCAGCAACACCUUGAAGCUACCGAGGUUCUAAACAUUAGGAGUUGUUGGGGAUCAGUGGCUGCCGAAAAAUUUAAGUUACUAACAUCACUAAGAAAACUACGGUUAUGGCAGUGCGACAUGGAUGAUGCGAGGCUUAAUUUGUGUUUGCAACACUUAACUGUUCUCGCUUCCUUAGAGAUAAUUGACUGCAAGAAUAUCAUGUCAUUUGACUUGCCAGUUGGUUCAAGGUAUUUGACAACACUUCAACACUUGUGCUUUGAGAAUUGCCAGAACCUUUCCUCCGUGGCUACCUUGGAAAGCUCCAUUUUCCUGAAAAGUUUGAUCAUUGAGAGGUGUCCAAUGGUCACAGCAGAGUCAUUACCUUCUGAGAUGGAGAGAAUGAUAUCUCUUAAUAAACUGAGUAUAUCACACUGCCCAGGGUUUCAGUCAUUACCGAGCAGUAUCCCGUCAUCCUUGGAAUUUCUUCAUUUGGCUGGGUGCGACUCAAGGUUGACUAAAGGGUUACUUGAGAGGCAAGGUCCAGAGUGGGAGAAGAUUGCCUUUAUCUCCCAAAUCACAGUACACUAA